UAUUCUGCCCCACGGGGAAGGAUGAGAAGCUUCGACUCGAGCGAAGCGAGAGAACGUUGCCGCAGGCAACGGCCCGAAGGGCGAAGCGCUUUAGCGCCGAGUAAUCCUUCCCCCACCACUG
rnacentral:sRNA from 1 species